CAACUCACCAAAUUUAGUCUCUUACCAAUAAAACUGUACUUCACUUGAUUAUAGUAAGGUUAUUGUAUUAAUUUUCAUUAGGACCAGAGAAGAAGAAGCAUAAAGGACAGAUACAGGUGUAUGUUAUAAGAUGGCGUCCAUCACAAUGUUCAGUUGAUCCAAUAGAAGAAAUUAUACUGGAUAAUAAUGAUCCUAAGCAUGCUAUUGAAAAGCUGUCAGAGUUAAGUGGAGUACCUGCUGAGUAUAUCUUUUGUGCAAAGUAUGGAUUAUCAUUAUUUCCAGUUGAGAUGUCAUGUCUUGAUAUUGAGAAUAAGUUGAUAUGGUAUUCCAUCACUUCAGACAGGUCCUCAUUAGAACUAUUUAGUGAUGGACGUGUCAUAUAUUACAAAGACAAUAGAGAGACAAUGAAAGAGUUAACAAGUGGCAGAGGAAGCAAGGUUGAAGAAAAUUGAGAAAUACUGGUUGGAUUAAUUUAAUUUAGAAGCUUGUAUUAUAUCAUUUUAAUCUUUAUAUUUUAAAAUUAAUGGUAAUUUUAAAAUAAUUAUGUAUCCAAGUGCACUUUAAAAAACUCUUGUGUAGUUUGUUUAAUGGCUCCAUUUUACUUUUUUAUUAUUGAGAAUUUUACAAUGCACUAGAGUUUACACAACAGUGGCAAUGACUAUGCUAUGCACUGAAAAGUCCCUAAGCAGCUUGUGCUUGGACCAUAAACUAAAAGGCCAGGUAUUCUAUCUCAAGGCUUAAAUUGGACACAGGCAGUUGAGGAAUAUUGAGUUUACAACAGUCAGAAGAAAA